CCAGUUUUUGACUCAUGUGGAAGUAGGUGCUCAAGAGGCUGCCUACCUUGUAUUACAGAUGCCUUUGCGAAGGACUUCAAGAUCAUUUAUGUUCAUUGAUACCCAUCCCCCUGAAGACAGAGUUGUUAUGUUGAAACCAAGACAUGUUUUAGAAGAAAUGAAAGAAAAUAGAACUGAUAUUGAGUCGAACAAUAUUGUUGGACUUUAUCGACAAAGACCAAAAGAUAUUGAAAAUGUGUGCCUUGCAGAUUUUGUCUCAAAAUUUUCUGUUAAAUAUAAAGUGAAAAAAACUGGAAAUGAAGCCCAGAUUAACCAUGAUUUGCUGGAAACCGAGUAUGUUGAGGACACUUCUGAUGAUAUUGAGUGCUCCUUGGAAGAGGAUGUUUUGCAACAUAGCUAUGUAUUUAAGAAUGGCACAGAAAUUGUGCUAAGGAGGAAACCAUGUAUAUUACGUUGGGUUCACUUUGAUGUUGAAACAGAGUCGGAGAAAUUUUACAGAGAACUUCUAAUGCUUUUUACUCAUUGGCGAAAUGAGGAGAAGGAUUUGAUAAAAAAAAAUUGGUUCUUUUGAAGAAAGUUACCUGGCAAGAUGUAGCUUCAUCCAAAAGAAAAGAGCAGAAUAUGAACACAAUCCAGAACUUCUUCAUGACAUUGAACAAGCAUGUCUGAACAAUAUCGCAGAUGAAAUGUGUAUGAGUAAUGUUGCACCUGAAAAUGAAAAUCAAGAAGAAAUUGACAGAAACUUGGGAGAAACGAUAUCUCAGCAAUAUGGUUGUUUUGAUCCUGGACAAAAUGCCCCAGUGUAUGACGUUGGAUUAGACCUUGGUAUCAAUAGAAAGCAGGUGGAAGAAGAUCUUACUCAGUGGGGAGAACUGGAAGAUAGUGCUUACAGGGAAAUGUUGAGAGGAUUAAAUGGACAACAAAAACAAUUUAUGUACCAUGUCUUGCAUAGAUUGAAAACUUGUUCUGAACCACUAUUCGCAUUUCUCAUUGGAGGAGCUGGUGUUGGGAAAAGUGUUGUCACCAGAGCUCUAUAUCAAGCCUUGUACAAAUACUUUUCACACAAAUUGCACAAUUCACCAGACAAUUUGCAUGUCUUGCUCUGUGCUCCUACAGGAAAAGCAGCUCAUAACAUUAAUGGGUCAACCAUACAUUCAGCUUUCUGUUUACCUGUAGGACAAGGAUUCAAAUACAAACCAUUGGAUAUGCAGCAGCUAAGUUCCUUUCGCACAAAGUAUAUGCAUUUAAAAGUUAUUUUCAUUGAUGAAAUAUCAAUGGUUGGAUGUGGUAUGUUUAAUUUCAUAAACCUAAGGUUACAAGAAAUAACAGGAGUCAGGGCACCAUUUGGAGGUAUAAGUAUUAUUGCUGUGGGUGACCUUUUUCAAUUGAAACCGGUGAUGGAUAGGCUGAUUUUCUCUCAGCCAAAUGUUGAUUAUGGACCCAUUGCAUCAAACUUAUGGAAAGACAAUUUCAAGAUGUUUGAAUUAACACAAAUCAUGAGACAGAAGGACGAUAAAAGUUUUGCAGAAUUGCUUAACAGGUUGAGAGAAGGUUACCAUACAGAUGAGGAUAUUGAAGAAUUAAAAAAAAACAUAACGGUCGAAAAGUCUGAGUACAAAGGUAUACCACAUUUGUUUACAACUAGGAAAGAAGUUGAAGCAUUCAAUUACUCUGUAUUUAAUGCAGCAGCAGAACAUUUAAAAAUUGUUGUUAAAGCUGUAGAUUGGGUUAUAGGAUCAACAAAUCCUGACUUGCAAGCAAAAAUUUUGUUGCGAGUUCCAGAUGACAGCACAAAAACAAUGGGGUUAGCUAGCAAGUUAAAACUAGUUUUGAAUGUCCCUGCUGAAAUUACAAACAAUGUGAGUGUUCAGGAUGGCGUAACAAAUGGAUCCGCUUGCAUAAUAAAACAUUUUGAAUAUCUUGUGGAAGGAUCUAACAGAGUCAGUAUUAUAUGGGUUGAAUUUGAAGAGGAGAAAAUUGGGCAGAAAUUGCGAAUUGAAUAUGCAAGAUUUUAUCAUUCAAGCAUUAAAAAGAGUUGGACACCUAUUUUAGAAAUAACAAGAAUGUUGAAAGUACAGUUCAAUGGAACCUUUCAGGUGAAAAGGAGACAAUUUCCUUUGCAACUUGCAGCAGCAAAAACUAUUCACAAAGCUCAAGGUUCUACAUUACAGAGUGCUGUUGUUCAUUGUGGAACAAGGAAAAUGGAUCAUAUACAUUAUGUUGGUUUAAGUAGAAUCACAAACAUGGACAAGUUGCAUAUUUUGGACUUGAACGAAAAAAAGAUAUCGGUUUCAACAGCUGUUCUUGAAGAAAUGAAUCGACUUCGAAAUGAAGCAAAGAUAAGCUUAUGUUAUGAAUCUCUUGAAAAUCAUGCUAAUGCAGCUGCAAGAAUUCUUUUCUUAAACAUAAGAUCUCUCCACCGUCAUUUUCUUGAUUUGGAAAAAGACUUUAAUUUGCUAUUUUCAGAAAUCAUUGCAGUGGCUGAAACGCGUUUCAUUGAAUCGGACAAAAAUGAAAAAUUUUCAUUGCCAGGUUUUCAGCUGCAUCGCUUUGAUUACCCUUGUCAAAGUCUGCAAAGACCAGUAUAUGGAUUGGCUAUUUAUGUGAAGAAUGGUGUCUUGAUCCAGAAUUUACAGAAAAACAUGUAUGGAUCUACACAGGUACUUUCUGCUGAAGUUGCUUUGGGCCAAAGAUGGAUUACUCUAAAGUGCUUACAUUUGCCACCCAAAACUUCUACUUCAUGUGCACAAGAAAUUCUAAGAAUUUUACUUGGAUCUGAUUUGCUAGAAAAACCUCAUGUGAUAAUAGGUGAUCUCAACAUUGAUGCGCAAGCAACUUCACUGUUUCAGUCUUUUAUGUUUGAACAGUUUGGUCUUGGAUACUUGCCCACAGGUGUUACUACUGACUAUAGUUCUGUGAUUGACCAUAUUUACACAAAUGUUCCUUUUGAUCAGCUUAUUUCUUGGGGCACAUUAGAGACAUACUAUUCCGAUCAUAAACCCCUUUUUGUUUCCUUGAAAUAAAAAAUUAUAAAAUGUUCUCAACAUUUGGUAAAAUCAAGAGAGAAAAAAAUGUGAUGUAUUCCAAUAUUCAGAAAUAAUUAUUCCGUACCUUUUGAUACUUAUCACAAACUCCUUAUGAAAAAUAUCCAUUUAUUACACAUUAUUUGAUUGUAAAAUCUCUUUUGCAUUUGUAACUUGGCUUCAUAUACAGCUUAAAACAAAUUUUACCUCUAAGGUAAGUUUUUCCCCCAUCUGUCCCCCCACCCCUUUCCCCCUUCAAUUAUUUGAUCAUCCUCUUGACCUGUGAGAGCUAAAAUGUACAGUUUAUUUAUAAUUACUUGAAAUCACUCAAAACAUGAUUGUCGAGCAUUUUGCUCUUUUGUAUAAAAAAAAUAUAUUGAAUUCAUUUCUUUUAUUUUUAGAUGUUCACAAUCAGUAAGUUAAAGGGGGCAAAACCCAAACCUUAUUCAAACCCUCUUAAGGUCAAAGUCUGUGGGGUAGGUACACCUGGAAGCUACACAACAUCUGCAGGACAAAAGAAGGAGAGUGUUGUCAUAGGUGUAGCAGACAGAGAUUCUUCAAUGAAAGUGAUCCUUUAUGACCUUGAAAAGCUUUCAAGUUUGAAGGUAUCAGACACUGUUAUGCUCACAAACUAUGUUUUCAAAUUGGACCCAGAGCCAAUUGUGAUCUUAACAAAGGUCAGCAAAAUCAUGAAAACAUCCAGUAUUGAUGUCCCUCAAAAGGUCAUUGAUGAAGCAAAAAACAUUAGUCAUCCUCCACCUGCUGAAACCAUCAGCCUAAAAACAGCAAAGACCUCUCCAGUUAAAACAUUGAUCAGUGUCAAAGGGAGAGUCACUUCGGAAGAAAUGGUGAGGACCGUUCAAGUGAAGGGGCAGGAUGUCGCUGUGCAAAACAUCAAGAUAAAAGAUGACACCGAUGAAAUUAAAGUCACUCUUUGGCGAGAAAUGACUGCAGCUUGUACUGUAGGAAGCUUCCUAGAAAUCACAAAUGUAGUUGUGAACCAUUUCCGGGAAGACAUCUCCUUGUCAACCACUUCAAAAACACAAAUACAGACAUCAAACUUGGUACACUGGUACAUCCUAAGGAGUAGAUGACACCUUAUGAUUCUACGGUCAUAUGAUUAAAGGUCAAGGGUCAAAAUGGACAUAGGAAUAUACUAUCCACUCAGUAUCUCGAGAACCCUUUGCUUAACGGACAUCAAACUCGGAACACUGGUACAUCUUAAGAAGUAUAUGACCCUUAUUGAUUUUGCAGUCACAUGGUUAAAGAUCAAAGGUCAAAUUGAAUAUAGUAAUAUAUUGUCUCGUAUAUUUCAAGAAUCAGUAGCUUGAUUGACACCAAACUUGGUACACUGGUACAUCCUAUGGAAUAGAUGACUCUUAUCUAUUUUAGGUCACAUGGUCAAAGUCCAAGGGUCAGUUCAUUCUGGACAUAGGAAUAUAUUGUCCACUCAACAUCUUGACUUGCAUUGGUUUGGUACUAUUAUCAAUUAAAUGAUGCAUGUGUAUAACCGUUUACAAUUCUGCACCACAUUGGGAGUGGAGGUAUUGUUGUAUGUUUGUAUUGUUUGACAAACAUUUCUUGUUUUGAUGGUAGCAUUUUAUGACUAGUUGAUGAAUAAACUCUCAAAAUAUGCAGGGAUGGUCAGUACAGUAAAAACAGCGAUGUUUCUUACAGAUGUCAACUGCAUAGUCAUUGUAACAUUGACUAAAGUUUAAGCUCAAGGAAUUUAUUUUGCUAAACUUUUUUGUUGGAUGGUAUCUUCUUACAACCACUGUGGUGCUUAUUUGACGGUUUUCUGUUGUGAUAUAAAGUACUAUAUGACCACAUAAUGAUUUUCCUCCAAUUCUUAGCAUUUGUACAUCAUGGCUUGUUUAGCACAAUCAUAAGUUAGCAAUGACUCUUUACAUCCAUGUUGGAUAUGUACAUGUAAUUUAAAUGGCAGUGGUCUUGACUUAGUCAAAUUUAGUCACCUUACACAGUUAUGAUGCAUUAAAGUAUAAAUCCUGCUAAAAGAAUGGGGUCACAACAGAUCCACUGUAUUUAUUUCUUAUGUACUUUGUUGAAUAAGAUUAAACUCUCAUUUUAUUUCUCACACAACUGGACUAGUAUAAAAUGAUUGUUGAUAGAAAAUUUUUCUCAUUGUUAGCCUGACUGGGCUAGUGCUGAAAUUUUUUGUGUGCACUCUGAACUCUGAUGUACAAUUACACAUCAUCACCAUAAUGCUGAUUCAAAUAAAUGUAUGCACACAUUUAUUUUUUUAACUUAAUUUUUUAGAAAUGCGAAGCUCCACCGUCCAUUUUGAAAGGCAGUGUUGUUGCUUAUGAAAAGACUGAGUUGGGAUUUUCCCUUAUGAUCGAAGAAGGAGAAAGCUUUCAAAGUGUUGACGUAUCAAUGAACUUGGUCAUGAACGCUCUUCAGUGUCAAGAAAAUGCAACUGAAACAACCCUGUCAGAAAAUAUUCCAUUCCAGUGCAUUGUCCAAACAGUUAAUGGAAAUGUAGAGGCCUUCUCCACUGCUUGAACAUCACAGAAGAUGUGAAAUGUAUAUAUGUAUAAUGAAAACCAAUUACAUUGUAUGCAGCUAGUACUUGUUAUUUCAGUUAUGGGUUUUUCUACUUUGUUAAAGAUAACACAUGAUUUUUCUGUCUUAUUCCAGACAUAAUUAUUCAUAAAACAAUUUUGUCAAUGAUACUACAAUUACUUGUAAUUGAAAUAAAGGAAAAUGCUCAUGAGGUCAUCAAAAUUAAGUUUUUGAUUGUUUAUGUUUCUUUCUUUUUUGGGAGUGUGCUUUUUCUCCCUUUGAUUAAAGUAUUGUAUCAUGAAUACUCUAUAUGUAAAUCUCUUGUUGACUGGACAUUUGUGUUCUUAGAGAAAUUUGUACUUUGUCAAUAUAAUUUCCCAUACUUAACACUUUUUUGUCUUCAACUAAUACAUUCCCUUUAAAAUACAAAUUGUGUAAGCUAACCACAGAGACGUUCUGUUGUAAAGACAAACUUGACUGUAUCAGCAAAGGAUUUUUCACAAUGAUUGUCUCCAAAGUUAAUUUGAAAGUCUGUCUCUCAACAUUUAUUUAUAAAUAGGUAUUCUUUAAUGAUGCUGUUAGCCUUCUAUAGUAUAUUGUUACAUUGUAAAUAUUCUGUUUUACUCAUUUGCAUUGACAACGUUUGUGUUCAGUAUUCUGAAACAUUUUUGUGAUUUUGGUUUGUAUUUUUCUUUGGACAUGACAUGUGCAAAUAAUUUGUACAGCUGCUUCUGUGACAUCUUUUACUUGUAAGCCACAGACGUUUCAUAUUCUUUUAGUUGUGAUCUGAACAUUGGUGUUACAUUAGAUUAUUUUAGUUUAGUCAAUAUAGCAUUAGUGUUUCUUCAUUUUCAUUCCCAUUUCUUGAUGUGUCCCAAUGUAAAUUGAAUAUCAAAUGUCUUCAUUAUAAAUGUAACAUACCAUUUCUAGAGACAUUUGUGAUUUUGAUGGUGCAGAUUGCUCAUUUAUUAACAGUUUUAAUUAUUGUAACAUGUUAAGCUGAAGGUCUAUUUGAAGUAGUGUUAUUUAGGUAUUGCUGUAUUUGAUUAGUAUUUUGUUACAUGUAAAUAUUUACAUAUACAAUUAUAAGUUUUUGGCAUGUUUUUUAAAAUUUUCUCUCCGAUUUUAAAUGUUCAUGCAUGUACAGUUUCAAGUAAAGGUAGAACAAUUGUAAGUUAAAAAGGAAUAAAUAAAACAGUGUUCAUCCUAGUUUAGUCAAGUCCGUCAGAUAUUGGUACAUGUACAUUCUGCACAAAUGAUACUGAAUAUUGUCAUUUGUUGUUCUUUAAAUGACAGUUUCCAUAUUUUGUAUAACUUUUUCAUACAAUAGUAUACAUGUAAAAUAAGUAGUGUUUAUUGUUUGUGACAAGUUUUAGAUUGGUACUUUUGGUAAAUUUGACUUUGUUUGUAUAUCUGACAAUUUUUAAGAAAUAAUGCAAAGUAUUACUCAUCUACUCAUCCUGAUUUCUUAUUAAUGCUGCAAAGAAUGUGAAAAUAGGAUACACUUUUUUCUUUUGAAAAUUACAAAAUCUUGCAGAUUUCCAUUGUUAUCUUAGUCUAUUUUUCUUUUUUUAAAAAUGAGCUCCUUUUUACAGAGCUAUUCUAGAUGCAGUGGUUCAUCAUGUGCUCAUCUGUUUUCCAUAUUCCAUUCACUAUACAAUAUUGAUGGAUUUUUAACUUUCAUUUUAAGAUAUCAUGUCCAUGUAUUUUGAUGUAUUUCAGUUAUUGUGCAUGUACUACAGGAUUGAUAUUCUGUCUUCCUUUUAAGCUUUAUACCACUGGGAUUUUUUUUUUUAUUAAACAAGUUUACCUCAUAUUGCUUGUUUUCUUUCACAUUGCAAAACAGUGAAGUUUCAUUCAACCAUAAUGCUUGUGUAUUCUAAAUUCAUUGAAAUUCACUGUGUAUUUUUACAAGUAAAUGCUUAAUAGGAUGCUUGAAAGGAUAUUGUGUAAAAAUGUUAAAUUCGUGAACAUUGAUAGUAUACCUGAUAAAACAUUGAAAUUUUAAGAGCAUGGGAUAAGGUGCUGCCAUGUAUUACUUCACUAUCAAAGUUUAACCCAGUUGCCACAAUGUUGAAUUUAUGCUGCAAAAAGGAUUGGAAAUUGCUCUGGUUAAAACACAUUGUUUAUUUGUCUACAGAUGAAAGAGACAUGAGGAUUCUCCCUCACAAACUGAACAAAAAUAGUUAUGGAUCUUGUACAUGUACAGUUUAUUAAUCACUAUAGAUUUCCAGCAUCACAAGUCUGAUUCCACUAUAUGCUUCCCAUACUGUCAGGUUCAUUCACCCCCUGUUUAAGCCACAGUAUAAUAUCCCAAAUACCUUGGCAAUAAAUAACAUUAUUUGACUAGUGUUUCAUUUUUAGCGGAGUUGCGAUGAAGUCGAACUCGGCUUGUGAUCCUGAUGAAGUGCCUUUGGGCUGGAACGCAUCAACAUUUCAUUUCCGCACCACAGCUCUUGAGCAACUUAUAGGAUCUCAUUCAAACUUGGAUGGAUUGUCAUCCUCAGUAAGAUAAGGAAGCCUAUCGAUUCUGGAGUCACUAGUUCAAAGAUCAAAGUCACAGUGGCUGUAAAUAGACUGAAAUUUGGAGAAAAUUUUGUUUUCCGCACCAUAGCUCUUGAACGAAUCAUACAAUCUCAAUCAAACUUAGAUGGAUCGUCACCCUCAGUAAGAUCAGGAACCCUAUCGAUUCUGGGGUCACUAGGUCAAAGGUCGAGGGCUAUAAAUAGACUGAAAUUUGGAGAAAAUUUUGUUUUCCACACCAUAGCUCUUGAACGAAUUAUAGGAUCUCAAUCAAACUUAGAUCGAUUGUCACCCUCAGUAAGACAA